AUUGAACGCUGGCGGCAUGCCUUACACAUGCAAGUCGAACGGCAGCACGGGGGCAACCCUGGUGGCGAGUGGCGAACGGGUGAGUAAUACAUCGGAGCGUGCCCAGUAGUGGGGGAUAGCUCGGCGAAAGACCGGAUUAAUACCGCAUACGACCUACGGGUGAAAGACGGGGGAGUCGCAAGACCUCGCGCUAUUGGAGCGGCCGAUGUCAGAUUAGGUUGUUGGUGGGGAAAGCCUACCAAGCCGACGAUCUGUAGCUGGUCUGAGAGGACGACCAGCCACACUGAGACUGAGACACGGCCCAGACUCCUACGGGAGGCAGCAGU
rnacentral:rRNA from 1 species